CCCACACCACUCCCCUACCCGUCGCUUUAUUCAAAGUUAGCACAGAUUUCUCUGAACGCGGCGUCUUCUUUCUGAAUGGCCUAGACUAGCUUUCGACCAAGUUUCUUAGCAGCCACAUUGAAAAUGGCGGACGAGCUGCCGUUAAUUUAAAACUGAAUCGAUGUCGCACUGAAGAGUCGGUUUGUUUCGACAAUUGUGGUACAUUUGAUGACGGAUGAUGAUGACCUGUUCUAAAAACUCGUCUGAUCUUCACUUUGUACAUCGGUUGUGUUAACUCACGCCUUUCUACCAUGAUGAAAUUCUAAUGUUUACCAGGAACCUCUCGACAGAUUUCACAAGCUACUGAGGUUCUACAGACAAAUUACAGAGUGCAGUAAAUAAGUACCAUUGGAAUCACUCACUAAAUCUGGAAAGUCAGUUGAUUAACACUGUGAGCUUGAAGAACCACAACAGACAGAAUUGCCCUUAUGAUACUUCCACAGAAGAUGAAAAACUGUUGGAUUCCCUCUGGGACGUGUGUAAAUCAGCUCAAGACAUGUUGCAGAAACGGGAAGAGCAAGAAAUGACCAUUAAGAAAUGUAGGAACAAAGUGGACUGUAUGACUGAUGAAAUGAAAAUGUUUCAAAGAAUUA